rnacentral:rRNA from 1 species
CACGUAGGGGCCAAGCGUUGUCCGGAUUUAUUGGGCGUAAAGAGCUCGUAGGCGGUUCGACAAGUCGGGUGUGAAAACUCCGGGCUCAACCCGGAGACGCCACCCGAUACUGUCGUGACUGGAGUCCGGUAGGGGAGGGGGGAAUUCCUGGUGUAGCGGUGAAAUGCGCAGAUAUCAGGAGGAACACCGGUGGCGAAGGCGCCACUCUGGGCCGGUACUGACGCUGAGGAGCGAAGGCGUGGGGAGCGAACCGG